CACCGCGGUUAUACGUAGAGACUCAAGUUGAUUAUUUCUCGGCGUAAAGAGUGGUUAAAAAUAGUAUAAUACUAAAGUCGAAUGCUUAUAUAAGCUGUCAUACGCCUUCACAAGCAAGAAGCCCCAUAACGAAAGUAACUUUAAUACAAUUGAAGCCACGAAAGCCAUGACA
rnacentral:rRNA from 1 species